rnacentral:rRNA from 1 species
CACAAGCGGUGGAGCAUGUGGUUUAAUUCGAUGCAACGCGAAGAACCUUACCUGGUCUUGACAUCCCAGAAAUCCCUUGGAAACUUGGGAGUGCUUCCAUUAGGAAGAAUCUGGAGACAGGUGCUGCAUGGCUGUCGUCAGCUCGUGUCGUGAGAUGUUGGGUUAAGUCCCGCAACGAGCGCAACCCUUGCCUUUAGUUGCCAGCAGUUCGGCUGGGCACUCUAAAGGGACUGCCGGUGUUAAACCGGGGAAGGUGGGAUGACGUCAAGUCCUCAUGGCCUUUAUGACCAGGGCUACACACGUACUACAAUGGCCGAUACAAAGGGCAGCGACAUUGCGAAAUGAAGCCAAUCCCAUAAAUUCGGUCUCAGUCCGGAUUGGAGUCUGCAACUCGACUCCAUGAAGUUGGAAUCGCUAGUAAUCGUGGAUCAGCAUGCCACGGUGAAUACGUUCCCGGGCCUU